CUGGAAAUGGCGGAUACAGUUUUAUUAAUGCCCAGAGGCCCAGCGGUCACAUUGUCAUGGAAUACCUUCAGCACCUCUUUCUUGUCAGGCAAUGGAAUAAACAAUUUAUCUUGAGGUUUGUUGCAAGGUGCCUGGGGCUGAGCCGCCAAGAUAGCACGGAGCAAAGGGAACGAUAAAGAAAGGACAGUGGAUGCAAUAAUACACUCAGAAGAAAU